rnacentral:rRNA from 1 species
UACGAAGGGCCCGAGCGUUAAUCGGAAUCACUGGGCUUAAAGGGUGCGCAGGCGGACCUGUAAGUGCUUUGUGAAAUCCCAUGGCUCAACCAUGGAAUUGCUUGGCAUACUGCAGGUCUUGAGCCCGACAGAGGUCGUCGGAACUCUAGGUGGAGCGGUGAAAUGCGUAGAUAUCUAGAGGAACGCCAAAGGUGAAGACAGACGACUGGGUCGGCGCUGACGCUCAGGCACGAAAGCGUGGGGAGCGAACGGG